rnacentral:tRNA from 1 species
GCCUGGGUGGCUUGGUUGGUUAAGCGUCCGACUUCAGCUCAGGUCAUGAUCUCACCGUCCGUGAGUUCGAGCCCCGCUUCGGGCU